UCACAUGCAGACACACAAGCUCACACACACAUGCAUGUACACACACUAGCGUUACACUCAUGCACACAGUAGCUUACAUGCUGAUUCACACGCACACACACUCGCACUCAUAUGCACACACACGGUUGCCCACACGCACACAUACUCCCAUGCACAUGCGCACACCCUGGGGAGGAGCAGAGCCCCCCUCACUUCCUCAGGCACGCAGACUUGGCCUUUUAAUUAAUUAAAAGAUGGCCUUUUAAUUUCAUGGGCGAGGAGGGCAGUGGCCCCAUGCUCUUGCAGUAGAGUGUGGAUCCUCUGGAUUGGGGUCUGCUGGAAAGUCCCAGGAGAUACUCGGAGGCUGUGAAAACCACCCUGCUCUCACCAGACGCUGCUCCUCCUGGGACCCUGCCUCCGAGGGCCCCGGGGCCAGCAUCUUCUUCCUGCCCCACAGUCCCUUUCACUGGCUUGGAGCUGAUCACAGCACCAGCUUGCUCGCUCUCUCAGCCUCUCUCUAAGCCUCUUUGCCCACCUCCAGUUCUUUCUCUCCCUCUCCCCCCCCAUUCUCUUCCCUUCUCUCCCUCUCUCCCUCUCCCUACAUCCCACAUCUCUUAGGCUCAUGCACCUGUAGCUCCCAACUUCUUCUCCCUGCAUCCCAGGCCACCCUAUUUUCUUUCUCAUGCCCUGUUGGAAGAGGAAGGGUAAUCAAUAGAGGAAGGGUAAUCAAUAGAGGAAGGUAAUCAAUAGAGGAAGGUAAUCAAUAGAGGAAGGGUAAUCAAUAGAGGAAGGUGAUCAAUAGAGGAAGGGUAAUCAAUAGAGGAAGGGAAUCAAUAGAGGAAGGGUAAUCAAUAGAGGAAGAUAAUCAAUAGAGGAAGGGUAAUCAAUAGAGGGGUAAUCAAUAGAGAAAGGUGAUCAAUAGAGGAAGGUGAUCAAUAGAGGAAGGGUAAUCAAUAGAGGAAAGUAAUAGAGGAAGGUAAUCAAUAGAGGAAGGGUAAUCAAUAGAGGAAGGGUAAUCAAUAGAGGAAGGUAAUCAGUAGAGGAAGGGUAAUCAGUAGAGGAAGGGUAAUCAGUAGAGGAAGGUAAUCAAUAGAGGAAGGUAAUAGAGGAAGUGUAAUCAGUAGAGGAAGUGUAAUCAGUAGAGGAAGGUAAUCAGAGGAAGGUAAUCAAUAGAGGAAGGGUAAUCAGUAGAGGGGCAAUCAGUAGAGGAAGGGUAAUCAAUAGAGGAAGGUAGUCAAUAGAGGAAGGGUAAUCAAUAGAGGAAGGUAAUCAAUAGAGGAAGGGUAAUCAAUAGAGGAAGGUAGUCAAUAGAGGAAGGUAGUCAAUAGAGGAAGGUAGUCAAUAGAGGAAGGGUAAUCAAUAGAGGAAGGGUAAUCAAUAGAGGAAGGUAAUCAAUAGAGGAAGGGUAAUCAAUAGAGGAAGGGUAAUCAAUAGAGGAAGGUAAUCAAUAGAGGAAGGUAGUCAAUAGAGGAAGGUAGUCAAUAGAGGAAGGUAAUCAAUAGAGGAAGGUAAUCAAUAGAGGAAGGGUAAUCAAUAGAGGAAGGUAGUCAAUAGAGGAAGGUAAUCAAUAGAGGAAGGGUAAUCAAUAGAGGAAGGGUAAUCAGUAGAGGAGGGGCAAUCAGUAGAGGAAGGUAAUCAGUAGAGGAAAGGUAAUCAAUAGAGGAAGGUAAUCAAUAGAGGAAGGGUAAUCAAUAGAGAAAGGUAAUCAAUAGAGGAAGGUAGUCAAUAGAGGAAGGUAGUCAAUAGAGGAAGGUAAUCAAUAGAGGAAGGGUAAUCAAUAGAGGAAGGUAGUCAAUAGAGGAAGGUAGUCAAUAGAGGAAGGUAGUCAAUAGAGGAAGGGUAAUCAAUAGAGGAAGGUAGUCAAUAGAGGAAGGUAGUCAAUAGAGGAAGGGUAAUCAAUAGAGGAAGGUAAUCAAUAGAGGAAGGGUAAUCAAUAGAGGAAGGUAAUCAAUAGAGGAAGGUAGUCAUUAGAGGAAGGUAGUCAAUAGAGGAAGGUAAUCAAUAGAGGAAGGUAAUCAAUAGAGGAAGGUAGUCAAUAGAGGAAGGUAAUCAAUAGAGGAAGGUAAUCAAUAGAGGAAGGUAGUCAAUAGAGGAAGGUAGUCAAUAGAGGAAGGGUAAUCAAUAGAGGAAGGUAAUCAAUAGAGGAAGGGUAAUCAAUAGAGGAAGGUAGUCAAUAGAGGAAGGUAGUCAAUAGAGGAAGGUAAUCAAUAGAGGAAGGUAGUCAAUAGAGGAAGGUAGUCAAUAGAGGAAGGUAGUCAAUAGAGGAAGGUAGUCAAUAGAGGAAGGUAGUCAAUAGAGGAAGGUAGUCAAUAGAGGAAGGUAGUCAAUAGAGGAAGGUAGUCAAUAGAGGAAGGUAGUCAAUAGAGGAAGGUAGUCAAUAGAGGAAGGUAGUCAAUAGAGGAAGGUAGUCAAUAGAGGAAGGUAGUCAAUAGAGGAAGGUAGUCAAUAGAGGAAGGUAAUCAAUAGAGGAAGGUAGUCAAUAGAGGAAGGUAAUCAAUAGAGGAAGGUAAUCAUGAAUAGAUACUACAAGUCAUGAACUUUUCAACCCACAGAGCAAUCAGGUGAAAGGGUUGAUGUUUCUGAGGUGGGUUCCUUUUUCUUCCUCCUUUAAAGUUUU
rnacentral:lncRNA from 1 species